UACGUAGGAGACGAGCGUUGUCCGGAGUUACUGGGCGUAAAGGGUGCGCAGGUGGCGGCGCGCGUGGGGGGUGAAAUCGCCCGGCUUAACUGGGCGGGGGCCUUCCAGACGGCGUGGCUUGAGCAGCGGAGGGGGACGUGGAAUUCCGGGUGGAGCGGUGAAAUGCGUAGAUAUCGGGAGGAACACCGGUGGCGAAGGCGACUUCCUGGCCUGUUCUUGACGCUGAGGCGCGAAAGCUAGGGGAGCAAACGGG
rnacentral:rRNA from 1 species